UUAACUGAAACCAAAAAGAGGAUUAUUAAUGUUAAUAAUAAAAUUGAGAUUUAUUAACUCCAGUUAAA
rnacentral:tRNA from 1 species